GACCAGACUCCUACGGGAGGCAGCAGUUAGGAAUAUUCGUCAAUGGGGGAAACCCUGAACGAGCAAUGCCGCGUGAACGAUGACGGUCCUCUGGAUUGUAAAGUUCUGUUGUUUGGGAAGAACGGCUCUAAUAGGAAAUGAUUAGAGAUUGACUGUACCAUUCAAGAAAGCCCCGGCUAACUACGUGCCAGCAGCCGCGGUAAUACGUAGGGGGCAAGCGUUAUCCGGAUUUACUGGGUGUAAAGGGGGCGCAGACGGCGAUGCAAGCCAGGAGUGAAAGCCCGGGGCCCAACCCCGGGACUGCUCUUGGAACUGCGUGGCUGGAGUGCAGGAGGGGCAGGCGGAAUUCCUGGUGUAGCGGUGAAAUGCGUAGAUAUCAGGAGGAACACCGGUGGCGAAGGCGGCCUGCUGGACUGCAACUGACGUUGAGGCCCGAAAUCGUGGGGAGCAAACAGGAUUAGAUACCCCUGUA
rnacentral:rRNA from 1 species